rnacentral:lncRNA from 1 species
AUGGGGAAUCCAGUCUAUCCUUGGCCAUAUGGCCUCUACAACGUCGCUUGUGGACCUGGCAAGGCUCAGAAUGCGCCCGCUCCAAAUAUGGUUUUUGGGAGCAUUCAACCCGCUCCUCGACAGCCAGCACAGUCGUCUGUCCCUUCCAGCCGGCGUCAUCAGCUCAUUGCGAUGGUGGACGAAGAGGCGCAAUCUUCUAGCUGGCCUGCCUUUCUACCCGUCAGAGCCUACCCACGAGCUCACGACAGAUGCGUCCCAAUAUGGCUGGGGGGCGCACCUCGAGGGCCUUACCGUCAAUGGGAGGUGGUCCAGUCGCCACCGUUCCCUUCACAUCAAUGUAUUAGAACUACUAGCCGUGUAGAAGGCUCUCCAUGCCUUCGCAAAGGUUCUCAAAGGGAAGACACUGAGAAUAAUAACAGACAACACCACAGUGAAAUACUACCUGAACAAACAAGGCGGGACGCACUCCAAGGCCCUUUUGGCCCUCUCCAUGAAGAUAUGGGACUGGUGCGUGCGCAGACGAAUGAGAAUCCAAGCUAUCCAUCUUCCAGGAAAGGACAAUGUUCUAGCGGAUGCAUUGAGCAGGGCACCAUCAACCAGCCACGAAUGGCAAUUGAACCACAGAGAGUUUUGAGUGUUGGCUCGCCGCUGGGGCUGGCCAGCAAUAGACCUCUUCGUGUCACCUCAGAACAGCCACUGCCCCUCCUUCUGUGCUCGCCUACGCCCCCACGCCAGCCCGGGAUGCCUGGGAGACGCGUUCCGCUUCACAUGGUCGGGAGACCUACUCUACGCGUUCCCUCCCCUCCCGUUGAUUGGCAAAGUAGUCACGAAACUAAUCUUGGACAAUUCGGAUUAUAUUCUUGUAACCCCUUGGUGGCCCCGUCAAGCGUGGUUCGCACCACUUUGGCGAGCAGCCAAGGGCGAUUACCUCCGACUCAGACCCUCGCCGGAUCUUCUGACGCUCCACAACGGCAAGGUCAAUCACCUGGACAUAGAGACGCUACGCCUUACAGGGUGGAGGAUCAGGCCCCGCAAGUCCUCUCCUCCCCUGUGAGGGCAAUUCUCCAGGUGGCUCAAAAGUCCUCGACUAAGAAGGCCUAUAGGUACAAGUGGGAUAGAUUUAGGAAGUUUGUUGAACCCCAGGGUCUGGACCCGGUUUCUGCCCCCACACCGGUGAUUCUAAACUUCCUGGUACACCUCUCGAGGGAAGGUCUUUCACUGGCUUCUUUAAAAUGCUACGUAGCCGCCUUGUCAUGGUUUAGGAAGGGACCCUCGGGCCAGUCCUGCUUCCAGGACCCCCUAAUAAAACUUUUCCUGAAAGGGUUCCAGAACUUGCACCCUCCAGCAUCACCACCACCACCCGCCUGGAGUCUGGAGCUGGUGCUCUCUCAACUUUCAAAGUCUCCUUUUGAACCAAUGGCCUCCUGUGACAUCUGUUAUCUCUCUUGGAAGGUGGCCUUCCUUGUAGCCAUCACAUCCGCGAGACGGGCCAGUGAACUCUGCGCCCUCAGGGCAGACCCGCCAUACCUACGGUUCCACACCGACAAGGUAAUAUUGAGAACAGACAUCACCUUUUUGCCCAAAGUUGUCUCAAGAUUCCACAUGUGCCAGGACAUCUCAUUGCCGGCCUUUUUUCAAAACCCCUCCUCAGCACUAGAGAUCGCUCUGCACUCCUUGGAUGUCAGAAGGGCCCUGGCGUUCUAUACCCAAAGGACAUCGGAGUUUAGGAAAUCGCCUCGUCUCUUCCUCAAGUACAGGCCAGAUGCAUUGGGCACUCCUGUCUCUUCACAGCGUUUAGCCGCCUGGAUAGUCUCGACAAUUAGUCUAGCAUACAGACUUGCAGGUCAGGAACCUCCGCAGAGAUUGACGGCGCACUCCACACGGGCCGUGGCUGCGUCCCAAGCCUUCCUCAAGGGGGUUCCUUUGGAAGAUAUUUGCAAAGCCGUGACGUGGUCGUCAUCUUCCACCUUCGCCUCUCACUACAAACUUGACAUCAUGGCUAAGAAAGACGCGGCAUUCGGGAGAGCGGUCCUCUUUUCGUGCGUGGCAUGA